UGGGGAAUCUUGGACAAUGGGCGCAAGCCUGAUCCAGCCAUGCCGCGUGGAUGAUGAAGGCCUUAGGGUUGUAAAAUCCUUUCGCCGAGGACGAUAAUGACGGUACUCGGAGAAGAAGCUCCGGCUAACUUCGUGCCAGCAGCCGCGGUAAUACGAAGGGGGCUAGCGUUGUUCGGAUUUACUGGGCGUAAAGCGCGUGUAGGCGGGUCGUUAAGUUGGGGGUGAAAUCCCGAGGCUCAACCUCGGAACUGCCUUCAAAACUGGCGACCUGGACCUAAGUAGAGGCAAGUGGAAUUGCGAGUGUAGAGGUGAAAUUCGUAGAUAUUCGCAGGAACACCAGUGGCGAAGGCGACUUUCUGGACUUGUAGUGACGCUGAGACGCGAAAGCGUGGGGAGCAAACAGGAUUAGAUACCCAGGUAGUCCCUGAGCGGGCUGGCAAGGCGCAU
rnacentral:rRNA from 1 species